UCAUAUACAAUAUCAUCAACAUAAACUUUAACACAAACAUGGCAAGAUAGAUUUUCAAGUAUAAUAACAAUGGCAUAAAUAUCAUGCUCAUUUAAUCAUACGGACUUACCUCAAAUGCAAUUUCGGCUAGUUUUCUCUUUUUGUCUUUAACCACGCACUUUCUUGAUUUAAGCCCAAAUCUCGAUUUUCUUGAUCUAAUAUGAUGAAAUUCACUCAUUUAAUCACUAAAUAAAUUUGAAAAAUCAAACUUCACAUUUUUGGCAGAAUGACCAUUUUGCCCCUAGACUUUCACAAAAUGACCAUUUUACCCCUAUGCUUAAAAAUCGAUUUUUAUCGAAUUCAUUCAUAUUAUAAACCUAGCUGAUUAAUUCAUAUGCUAGAAGCAAUCCAAAAUUUCCAUUAUUUCACACAUUUAUUAUCUGUUUUACAACUAUGCAAAAUAAUCCUUAUUAGGGUUUUCAUGAGAAAUCCCUUCACAAAAGUUGUUUAUUACUCACCAAAGAAUCAUAUUCUUCCAUGAAAAUUCAAAAAAAAAACCUAAAUUCUCUCAUGGAAAAACCCUAGACUUUCAACCAUUUUGCAAAAUAGUCCCCUCAUUUAAAAGCUCUUGUUUCAAGGGGUCCAAAAAUAUAAAAAUCAUCAAGAAAAGUCAUGAAAACCACUUACUUGUGAAGGCUUAACGUAGCUGAAAUUUUUAAUCUUCAAAAACCCCUCUAAUAG
rnacentral:lncRNA from 1 species